rnacentral:lncRNA from 10 species
GUAGGCCUUGCAGACGGGGAUUCUGCAUGGAUCCCAGCGCUGUGUGGCCCUGGACAAAUGGCUUAACGUCUCUGAGCUUGUUUCCCCACCUGUAGAACACAUCUGCUAGGUGAGCCCCCAUGGGGCCAUUCUAAGGAGUCCCUGAGAGAGCCAGUGUGAAGCUCUUAGCAGAUGCCCUGGAGCUCAGCAAGCACUCUGGGGUGACAACACCGUCAGCUGUUUCCACUGGGCUCCUGAGACGUGCCCGGUGCUGUUAGGGUCAAGGGUUCCACAGGGACCCUCUCACAUGCAAUCCUCACCGGUGCCUUUACCAGGUGAGUGCCGCAGGCAGCCCAUUUUUCAGAUGUGGACACUGUGGCACAGAGAGGUUCAGUAACAUGCC